AUGGAUGUCUACAAAAAGAUUCUGUUCAUAGCUUUUCUUAAGCUUAACUGGAUUUGAAGUCAUUACCACCUAUAAUCCCUUGCCUACCAGAUGUACUGUGGAGAGGCUAGGACAUAGGCGUGCUGUUGGUGUUCUACGCAGAUGCAAAAUGGAGGAACUACUUUGACUUCAAAAUUUGAGUCACAGUUUGGUUUAGGGUGCUUUAUUAUUGUUGGGUUGGUUUUUGUUGUUUGGUUGUUGGUUUUUGUUUUUUUUCUUUUAAUCAAGAAUUUAAUGUUUCUUUCUUUUUUUUUUUUUUUUCCCCUCAGGGCGAGAACGUUGCAUUCAUACAAUACUUCACAGAGUGGGACCUUGAUCCUGACCAGGACCUCAGAGUGCUGCCAUUAUACAAAUAAUAAUAAAAUGAGGCAGAACAAAAUAGGAGCCUGUGGGCUAGGUUUUAAUUCUCCUAUCUCUUUUUCAUCAAAACUAAACCAUUUGAAGGAUAAAACCAAGCAUUUUUUGUUUUGUUUUAUCGUUUAUUAUUUUUUGACCAUGCCGUAACACCCAUCAUGAAAUGACUGCAUGACUCAUUUUCAAAAAGAAGUGAUAACAAUGGAUUCAUUUGGU
ensembl:lncRNA